CUCGUGCUAUACUACUGUCUAAAAAAACGUGUCCUGUUAGGACUCUCUCUCAAUUGCAGACAAAACCAAUUCCCAGUACAUAUAUAUGCAUCUCUAAAAGACACUGCUGCCAGACGCAUCAAACUCCACACAAGAAUCACAGAGUUAUACAUACAUACAUACACAAUGUCUAAUCGCUACACACACAACAAAAACGAAGGCUCAAGAGGCGCAUUCAAUCCUAGAAAACAACAAUUCGUCCCCAAAAACCCUAAUUCAUCAGCACAAAAACUCUCCGAUUCUCUCCGUCACUCCGAUUCCGGCGCCGUCGCAUCGUCUGCGACCGCCGGAAACAGGCUCACACGGAAAGACGGCGCUUCGGUGCCUAAUCAGACGCGGAGUGGCAAUUUUGUAAAAUAUUUGCCACAUGAUGAGGCGGUUGCUUCUGGAUUGGCUGCUGAUGUGGAUUGGAUCCUAUUGAGUCGCAACGUGUUGUCGAUUUGCUUAAUCGAGAAUUGUCGCGUUUGCUGAAAUUGAAUCCUCGGGAAUUCUGGAAAGAAGUGGCAGGUGAUACAUCCUUGCACGAUUUUCUAGAAAGUUUCCUGAAAUCUAGAACUAGAUGGUAUGAUUUUCCAUAUCGCGGAGCUAGAGGAAUUGUUGCAGGAACUAUUGUUGGGGAGUAUGAAUUAAGUAGGCGUGUCUAUAUGGUACUAUAUCGAAUAUCUUCCAGUCGAGAUCCAGGAGCUAAGGCUGGGGAUAGUCUUAGUCCAAAAGAUCAUGCAGUUUUCUUUAUUGAUUUUUUUAUUUUGAGGCUGACUAUAUGCACUUGGAUAAGCCAACAUAGAAAGGAACAUUUGAUGCAGAAGAGAAAGCGGUGAAGCUUAGGAGUGAACUCGUGGGCAAUGCUGCUAAGGUGAAGGAUAUUACUCGGACUUUUAAGCUGGUUGAUGGAGAACUCACCUAUGAAGUUGAAAUGGCAACUGGAUCUGUAAGCCUUCAGCCACACUUAAAAGCCUCACUGAAGAAGCUGUGAAAUAAAAUCAGUUACUUGGCAAGUAUAAAAAUUGUUAAGUUGCUUAUGCGGCUCUAUCCAGUUUCAAGUUUUCCUUUUGCGGCUUCUUUUUCUGCAAAUGUUUUCCUAGCAAGUUGUGUUUCGAGCUGUUAACUGACUGGGUGGCAUCACCGAAACUUAUGCAUCACAAUAACAUUUGCCUAAAAGUUAUGUGGUAUUUGGGAAUUAGCAUAUCACAAUUCUUGAUGUUUCGAGUUAAAAAAUUCGUAGCUGGCAUUUAGUGCGUCGUCGCUGUGACUCUUGUAACACUAUACUUGGGUAUAUUUGUCAAUCCUUGCUCUAAUGCUCUCAUAACGUGGGAACAUCCUAUCUGGCUUAUUUAUUCUACAUAUCUCAUUUGUCUUAAUAAUAUCUUUGAUGAAUUGCAAUCCAUUUCACCCACUUAUACGCUGCCCUGUAGUUGUAAUCUCCUGUUCAGGACUCUCUCUCCCAAUAGAGAUUGCAGACAAAACCAAUUUUGGGUCAUCUAUCUAUCUAUAUACAACACAUAUGCACAAGUCGAGCUUGCCUCUUAAAGUGAGUUGAUCAAAAUCUGAAAAUGGCGAGCGGCGGCAUAGCUAGAGAACUCACUUCCAAAGAGGCCGACAUUCAGAAGAUGUUGGCGGCUGAGGUGCAUCUCGGUGCCAAAAAUUGUGACUUUCAAAUGGAACGUUAUGUCUUCAAGCGCCGCAACAAUG